rnacentral:misc_RNA from 1 species
GAAAUGCGCUAAGUAAUGUGAAUUGCAGAAUUCAGUGAAUCAUCGAAUCUUUGAACGCACAUUGCGCCCUUUGGUAGGUCCAUUGCGCAUGCCUGUUCGAGCGUCAUUUCCCCCCCAUCUCAAGCACUGCUUGGCGAUGGGCGCUUGUCCCGCCCUGCUGCGCGCGGACUCGCCUCAAAACCAUUGGCGCCCGGCAUCCGUUUUUCGCACGCAGUAUACCGCGCGAGUGGAAUUAGCAAGCCCGGCGUCCACAACAAGGACCCCCAAGAUUGACCUCGGAUCAGGUAGGGAUGCCCGCUGAUCUUAA